GGAAAUUGCUUUUGGCUCCCGAGCUCCAUGGAGGCCUUUAAAUUUGAAACUCAAAUUUCAUGAAAAUUCGUAUUUUUAUAUUUCAAAAAAUUCUGAAAAAAAUACAGGGAUAAGUGAAGGCGUAACACACAUGUGUGUAAAUUUUCAGAAAAAAAUACAUUGAAAUGAGGGCUGUGCAAAAAAGACAAAUCUGAGGCUUUUUUAC
rnacentral:lncRNA from 1 species